rnacentral:lncRNA from 1 species
UGUGGAGGCGAGUCUAUUGUGGGUGAAACAGAAGCCCCUGGUGUAAGGCCAGACCCCAGGCCUGAAAAGGUGCAAAGCCUGCUGUUUCAGGCUGUCAGGAAGAAUCGUGGGUACAAAGUGAAUAUGAUGAAAUGCAUCCCAGAGAGGAAAUAAAUGUGCCCUCACUAAGAAGUGGGUCUGGCUGCCAGGUCUCUGGCAGCCCACCUGCAAGAGGACUACAUCCCCUGCAGCCCUGCCAUCCACACUACAUGAUGUGGGGAGUCUGUCUCUUCACUCUUACCCUGGGGAACCAAGCCUGCUUUGAGGAGUGAGUCACAGCCCUGAUGUGUGCCUUGCAUUACUCUUUCCCCAGGUGUGCCCAGAGACUCAAGCUUGCUCAUUUCUGUCCUGACACAUCUCGCUGGUCCUGCGGUGGUCAGAGUCCUCCUGUUCUGUGUCAGCUCCUAGACAUCAUUAAUCUUUCACGUGAUAAAGUU